UUGCCUAACUCUUUUGAUUUUUUCUGUUCAUUCAGAUUUAGAUCAUGUGUGUUUUGACAAGUGUAUCACAGAAGUGAUCCUGUGGAUCUUCUCUUUGCAUCCUAACAUGGGAUCUACAUCUGAUUUGUCUUAUUCCUGAUGAUGUUAGUAUUGACCGCUAAUGGUGGUAUCUGCUGUGUUUGAGAUUUGACUUGCUGAAUGAGCCAAGCAUAGUACCUGAAAUAAAUCUAACUCAGUCAGGUGAUACUGGCUUUAUAAAACUAUUUGGCAUCCACAGCUCAUGAGAAUUAUUCACAAAUAUCCCCUCUUGCCCCUGGGUUUUGUGAUUGGGACCUGAGUGUACUGGAUCUGACAUGUGGGCCCAUCCUCUGGGCCCUGGAGAUCAAUCCCUGAACAUAGCAGGGAGAAGCAUACUGUUCCCAAGUCCCUCCUGGGAUGCUCAAGCUGGAUCAAUGUCCCUCCACUUCGGGCUGUGUCCCACUCUGCUGAAGUCACCAGCAACAGUACCAGGGAUGGCCAGCAGGCAGUGCACUCACAGUCCAAGCACCUCUUUUUUCUGCUACAGGACCUCCAGAGAAAAGGACCCACUGCACUCAUGUGGCUCCUGCAGUCUGGGCCAGAGUUGAGAAAUGUCUGUGUUGGGAUGAGGAAGAUGGAACCAGAAUGUUUGGGGCACCCUGGUGAAGACAAAGGCAGCAGGUGUGUCAAAAAGCAAUGUGGAAUCUCCCAUCUUGCUUGGGUCUGUGCGGCAUGAGAUGCACUAAGCGGUGCUG